CGAUCCCUGCGAGUUUUGGUAUCUGGCAAGGUUAAGCAAACGCGAAGCCGUAGCGAAAGCGAGUCUGAAAGGGCGCUUAGUCAGAUGCUGCAGACCCGAAGCUGAGUGAUCUAUCCAUGGCCAAGUUGAAGUAAGUGUAAUAGCUUAUGGAGGACUGAACUCGUACCCAUUGAAACGGGUUGGGAUGAGCUGUGGAUAGGGGUGAAAGGCCAAACAAACUCAGUGAUAGCUGGUUCUCUUCGAAAUAUAUUUAGGUAUAGCCUCAAGUAAUAGCAAUAGGGGGUAGAGCUCUGAUUGGGCUAGGGCUGCUCACCGCGGUACCAAACCCUGUCAAACUUCAAAUACCUAUUGCCGUAUCUUGGGAGUCAGGCGGUGGGUGAUAAAAUCAAUCGUCAAAAGGGGAACAACCCAGACUACCAACUAAGGUCCCAAAGUUCUAUUCUAAGUGGAAAAAGAUGUACAGUUACUUAGACAACCAGGAGGUUGGCUUAGAAGCAGCCAUCCUUUAAAGAAAGCGUAACAGCUCACUGGUCUAGUGAUUGCGCGCUGAAAAUAUAACGGGGCUAAGAUAGACACCGAAGUUGUAGAUUGUGCUUGCACAGUGGUAGAAGAGCGUUCGUAUCAGCGUUGAAGGUAUACCGGUAAGGAGUGCUGGAGCGAUGCGAAGUGAGCAUGCAGGAAUGAGUAGCGAUAAAAUAUGUGAGAAUCAUAUUCGCCGUAAAUCUAAGGUUUCCUACGCUAUGCUCGUCAUCGUAGGGUUAGUCGGGUCCUAAGACAAGUCCGAAAGGGGUAGUCGAUGGAAAAUAGGUUAAUAUUCCUAUACCAACCAUUGUGUGCGAUGGGGGGACGCAUAGGGUUAAACGAGCCAACUGAUGGAAGUGUUGGUCUAAGUGCGUAGAUUGGAGGAGUGGUAAAUCCGCCUCUGUAUUUGAAACAUGAAAGGCUCUUUGAAGUCUUCGGAUGGAAGAGAGAAUCGUUGAUACCGUCGUGCCAAGAAAAGCCUCUAAGUUUAGCAAUGGUUGCCCGUACCGUAAACCGACACAGGUAGAUGAGAUGAGUAUUCUAAGGCGCGUGAAAGAACUCUGGUUAAGGAACUCUGCAAACUAGCACCGUAAGUUCGCGAUAAGGUGUGCCUACGAAAGUAGGUCUCAGCAAAGAGUCCCUCCCGACUGUUUACCAAAAACACAGCACUUUGCAAACUCGUAAGAGGAAGUAUAAGGUGUGACGCCUGCCCGGUGCUCGAAGGUUAAGAGGAUUAGUCAGCAGCAAUGUGAAGCUUUGAAUUGAAGCCCGAGUAAACGGCGGCCGUAACUAUAACGGUCCUAAGGUAGCGAAAUUCCUUGUCGGUUAAAUACCGACCUGCAUGAAUGGCGUAACGAGA
rnacentral:rRNA from 1 species